UCAAACCAAGACUCUAAUACCAACUUGUAACGUCAUAAAAAUUCAUGGUAAAAAAAUUAUUUUUAGAAUAAUCCAAAAACCAACAUUCAUUCAUUUCCAAUAAAAAGAUAAUCGGAAUAUGAUAAUGUAUCCUCAAACAACAAUAGAAAAUCAAAGGGUAAUACAUAAAUAAAAUCUGGGGUGUGCAAUGCGAUCAUGCCAAGCUCUUUCCUUUUGAACCAAAAGUACCUGAAAACAAUUUAAACACAAAUCACAAUAAAAAAGCUUAGUGAUUUCCCUCAAAAUACCAUAUUUCAAACAAGAACGAACCUAACCCAACAUACAUUCUUUGGUCCCAGCCCAAACAGUCGGGCCCAACCCAUGUCAUUCGGGCCCCGCCCAUAUAAUCAGGCUCUACCCAUAUAAAACAUACAUACACAUGUAAUAGUCAUAAAGUUAGCUAGCAUCCUACAAACAUAAUCAUGGGUUUUGUACAUUGUUGGUCCAUGUGUUAGAUCUUAUUAGCUUCUUGGUUUCAUGUUCUUUUGUCCCAUAAUCAUGGGUUUUAUGAGUAUGAGCUACUCCAGACCUUGUGGUUGUCAUUUCUUGUUGUUUUUGAGGUUGAUAAGUCAUAAAAAUGAGAUCUUGGUUGUUUCCAUUCACCAAUGCAUGAGUUUUUGGAUAUUAGAAGGUGUCAGGAAACUAGGGUUUCGUUUUGAGCUCUAUUUAGCCAUGUAAAGUCAUACAGUUAAGAACUUUAUCACUUAAGACGAUUAUUAGGACCGGAUCUGAGGAAAGGUUGGAUGUUCCUACAAACAUAAUCAUGGGUUUUGUACAUACACAUGUAUAUUUUGAAGGAAACAUAUUAAAAUUUGAAAAAUAUAAGGAAACAAAUUAAUGACACAUUAAUUACUUUCUAUAACCUAAAAAUUAGAUAGUUAUUUAAGAAAAUCAAAAAUUAUCACAAAUUGACAAAUGGAAAUUAAUUUCUAAGAAUUAACCACAAAAUUACAUGUGUCAAAAUGAAUGAAAAUGUGACAUGUGGCAAAAGGAUUUUCAUUUAUUAGUAUGACUAGUUGUGAAACACGUAUAUUAUACAGGUUAAUUAAAACAUAAUGUUAAACAGGAGCGAUUAAAUGAAGAAUUUAUUUGAAUUUGAAAUAUGAAAUAAGUGAAAAUUAUGAAAAUAAAAAACAUGCAAAAAAUAAAUUAAUUAAAAUUAUGUGUUUAAUUGUUAGACUCAUGUACUAAACGAUUGAUUAUAAUAAAAUGUUAAAUACAAAUGUUUAAAGUGUAAAUUUAUUUGAAAUUGAAAUUGAAAUUUCAAAUUUGAAAUUUGAAAUUUGAAAUUAAUAGUUAUUAUAGUAGGUUUAAUUUAUAAAAACUAAAUUAAUGAUAUAGUGGAAAUGAAUAAUGAAGUAAUUGACAAAUGGAAAAUAAAUAUAUUUCAAAAUUAUGACAAAAUGACAUGUGGCCAAAUAAAUGAGAGAAUGACAAGUGGUGAUAACAUUUUCAUUUAUUAGGGUAGAGAUCGGUUUUCUAAAAAUAGUAAAAAAAAAGGCAACAGAAACUUUAAAAUUGUGAAUAAACUUAAAACUAUUUUUAACCCACCAAUGAUCAUUUUGCAAAGUAUGAGACGAUUAAAUCUAACAUAGAAGGAAAGGUGUUACAACAUUUGACGAUUUAGAUUCCCAUGGAAGAUGGAAGUUGAUGAAGUGAUGCAUGAAGCUCCAAAGGAGAAGCUCUCUACAAGUAUCCACCAAGCAAGGUUAAACCACCAAAAACGCUAAUCUUCACUUAUAUAUAAGUUUUUUUUUAAGUCUUAAGACAUAUACCAAAAAAUUCUUAGGGAGAAGCAACUUAUAAACCUUCAAAUCUAGCACCAAUUUGCAAGAAAAGAGAGAGAGAGAGAGAGAAAGAGAGAGAGAGGGAGAGAGAGAGAGAGGAUAU
rnacentral:lncRNA from 1 species